UGGCACCUACGGGGGCAGCAGUGGGGAAUGUUGUACAAUGGGGGAAACCCUGAUGCAGCAACGCCGCGUGAAGGAAGACGGUUUUCGGAUUGUAAACUUCUGUUCUUAGUGAAGAAAAAUGACGGUAGCUAAGGAGCAAGCCACGGCUAACUACGUGCCAGCAGCCGCGGUAAUACGUAGGUGGCAAGCGUUGUCCGGAAUUACUGGGUGUAAAGGGAGCGCAGGCGGGAAGCUAAGUCAGCUGUGAA
rnacentral:rRNA from 1 species